UCGCAUCUGUGCAUGCAGCAUAUCAAUAAGCGGAGGAAAAGAAACUAACAAGGAUUCCCCUAGUAACGGCGAGUGAAGCGGGAAGAGCUCAAAUUUGAAAUCUUAAAGGGUUUCCCUUUACGAAUUGUAGUUUAAAGAAGUGUUUUCUGUUGAGGUUUUGGUAAAAGUUCUUUGGAAUAGGACAUCAUAGAGGGUGAGAAUCCCGUAUUUGACCUUUACUUUCAACUUUGUGAUACACUUUCAAAGAGUCGGAUUGUUUGGGAAUGCAGUCCAAAAUGGGUGGUAAAUUUCAUCUAAAGCUAAAUAUUGGCGAGAGACCGAUAGCGAACAAGUACCAGUGAGGGAAAGAUGAAAGGAACUUUGAAAAGAGAGUUAAACAGUACGUGAAAUUGUCAAAAGGGAAGCGUUUGACACCAGUGUUGUUUUUCUGAAAAUCAAUUAAAGAACUGUUUAUGCUAAGUUGUUUAGACUUUAUCAGCUAUCUGCUUUAGUUUUGAGCUUUUCUUUAAUGCACUUUUCAGUUAACAAGUCAACAUCAAUUUCUUUUGCUGUAAAAAAGCUUGAGGAAGGUGGCUUGAGAUUCGUCUUAAGUGUUUAUAGCCUCUCGCCUAUGCAGUCGGAGAGAUUGAGGUCUGCAGCGUAGAUCCUUCGGGGCUAAAUGCAUUUGUGCUAAGUUAUAGCAUUUUAUAGACAACUUGUUGACUAUGAUUUGUCUUGUAGCUUACUCGCUUAUGUUAUUUUACCUACGCUUAGGAUGUUGAGUCGUAGAGCACGCAG
rnacentral:rRNA from 1 species